rnacentral:rRNA from 1 species
AGCAGCCGCCGCGGGAAUACAGAGGGUGCGAGCGUUAAUCGGAAUUACUGGGCGUAAAGCGCGCGUAGACGGUUUGGUAAGUCAGAUGUGAAAUCCCUGGGCUCAACCUGGGAACUGCAUUUGAUACUGCCUGGCUAGAGUAUCGAAGAGGGAAGUGGAAUUUCCGGUGUAGCGGUGAAAUGCGUAGAUAUCGGAAGGAACACCAGUGGCGAAAGCGACUUCCUGGUCGAAUACUGACGUUCAUGUGCGAAAGCGUGGGGAGCAAACAGGAUUAGAGACCCCGGUAGUCCCUGUCUCUUAUAA